AGGAUAAAAGUAGAGCUCCUUGAAGUCCAAAAGAGGAUCUUUCUGGGUGGAUUGUGCUGCUGAGUUAUGGAUCCCACACUCUUAUCUCUUCAUUGCUGAUCAGAUGAUAGGCUUGUGGCUUGCAUACCUCAGGAGCUCCAUUAACCCCUGUGGUUUGAUCUUUCUUUGGAUUGAAGGGAGCUCUGCAGUUGCUGGAC
rnacentral:pre_miRNA from 1 species